UACGGAGGAUCCAAGCGUUAUCCGGAAUUACUGGGCGUAAAGAGUUGCGUAGGUGGCAUAGUAAGUAGACAGUGAAAGCGUUCGGCUCAACCGGAUACACAUUAUCUAAACUGCUAAGCUCGAGGAUGAGAGAGGUUAUUGGAAUUCCCUGUGUAGGAGUGAAAUCCGUAGAUAUAGGGAGGAACACCGAUGGCGUAGGCAGAUAACUGGCUCAUUCCUGACACUAAGGCACGAAAGCGUGGGGAGCAAACGGG
rnacentral:rRNA from 1 species